ACCAGCAGUUCAAGUUGCAUCCCUUUUUAUUGGGUCUAAAACAUCCGUAGCUUGCCGUUUAAGUCUCUUGUGAAAUCCUACGUCUCAAGCGUAGUGAAGUGCAGGAGAUACUGAACGGCUAGAGAUCGGUAGACGUAAGGAGUACGCCACGGGUAACGGUCAAAUGUGUUAAUCCGUGGUGGACUAACAAUGAGCGAAGGCACCUUACGAGGACGAAUCUGACAGUGAGGGAUGAAGGCCAGGGGCGCAAAACGG
rnacentral:rRNA from 1 species